GAUGAACGCUAGCGGCAGGCCUAACACAUGCAAGUCGAACGGUAACAUGAGAGCUUGCUCUUGAUGACGAGUGGCGCACGGGUGCGUAACGCGUAUACAAUCUACCUUUUACAGAGGGAUAGCCCAGAGAAAUUUGGAUUAAUAUCUCAUAGUAUUAUUUUAUGGCAUCAUAGGAUAAUCAAAGAUUUAUCGGUAAAAGAUGAGUAUGCGUUCUAUUAGUUAGUUGGAGUGGUAACGGCACCCCAAGACAGCGAUAGAUAGGGGCCCUGAGAGGGGGAUCCCCCACACUGGUACUGAGACACGGACCAG
rnacentral:rRNA from 1 species